CGCAUCACAUUUAAUCAACUGACUUCAUUUCUGAGUGCCGAUUGCUGCUUUGGGGUCGAGUUUCCCCUCUUGAAGGCGAUUAUGUGGUAACCCCAUCUCCAGCGUUUGAGGAAGGACGUAAACAUGCAAUUAAAGUUCCUGUUUCCUCCAGUGAGACGAGGCCGAGCUCUGUGGUCGGACGGAGCCGAGCCUUUCCAGCAGGCGUGUUGGCGAUAAAGAGAUCGUGGAGACGAGAACGUCAUUCCUGGUUUCCCACAGAAUUCAAGCAACAUGACGUCUGGAGCAGAAGAUCCCUCUCAUGUUCAGUCUUCAUCUCCCUGUUGUUGUGCAUCUGGUUUCCUUUAUACGACUCUAGAUGUCCCUUUAUUCUUCAUCUGUCUUCAUCUUCAUUUACUCUGGAUAAGCUUUAGUACAAACAACAUCACCAGCUCCUCCUCCUACUUCCCUCCUUUGAAUCUUCUCUGCGUCCUCUUGCCUCCUGACAUCUGUCCCAGAGCUGAGGGAGUUUUUCUGGAGUAAUAACAGGCUGAUGACCGGAGCAGCUCCACCACAUGUGAGCUUCCUCUGGGUCAAACCCGAGUCUGUUUGUUUGGUUCCGGAGGCUCCAUUCAAAGCUGGAAGCCGUCGGGCUCUUUGUCGGCAGCAACAACAAGCUUUUGUUUCCACUCAUAAUAAGGCUGGUUCAGUUUGAUGGUUCAGACUGGAACUACUGGUUCUAAAAGCGGAGUUUGUUUUGGUGUUUACCUUCGAUUCUUUGUAGCUCAGCUUGAAGAGCAAAACAUAAUAUUGAUGUACAAUGUGCAACCUUACUCCCUUUGUCAUGUACUGUACUUCAUGCUGACCCAACUGACCAAAGCUAAAUAUCCAACUGUAAAGCUGUUUGAUAACCCGAGCAACUCCACGACACAACUUCACCUGACUAGCUCCUUAACUCACUAGUCAGUUAGUGGAUUAACAGACAAAACUAACUACAAAACUGAUUGACCAGCAGGAAAACACAGAUCAUCUAAGUUUUUUCCAACAAAGUGUUUUGACGUCUGCAUCAGAAUCAUGUUUAUUAGAGAACAGCUUUAAACCGUGGUAAUUAGGAAGCAGAUAUACAACAACUUACCAAAUACAUCAGCUGGAUGGAGCAGAGCAUGAUGGGAUGCCACAGGAUAGGAAGAAGGCAGUUUGUUAGAAAAAGAAAAAAAACAUAACGUUAACUUUUACAUCCUCAUGUAUUUUCAUGCACCUUUUAACCAUCUAAACCCCAAAAUCCACUCGCAGGUUAGUAAAAAAAAAAAAAAAAAAAAGCACCAUUUAUUAGUCAGAAGCUGUAAAAUGCAUCAUUAGAUUUCUAACUUGCACAUCGUGUCUUUUUCCACAGUGUAAGCUGAUCCGUUCCAACCCCACAGUGUGUGGAACAGCCUCCCCAUCUUCCAAGCCUGAUAUCCUGAUUUUCAAUGUUCCUUGAAUUUCUCAUCUAUAUGACAUAGUGUACUGUUGGAAAAUUUAACCAAACCUAAGCUUCAAAUAAUGACAUUGCAUCAAAAUGACUUCAUUCUGUAUUUUAAAUAAAUCUGAUUCUGUUUUAAAAAUGAAAUUAAAUAAUAAUAAUAAUAAUAAUAAUAAUAAUAAUAAUAAUAAAAACAGAACAAAAUUUGACCUUGAAGCUGUAAAACUGGAAAGAACGAUCAGAUUUUUAACUUUCACAGUCCAUAAACCUCUAAUCUGCUGUUUUAUCAGAAAAUUCAAUUAAAUCUAUGCUUGAAAAUGUAGUAUUUAACCAAAAUUACUUCAUUCUUUGUCUCAUUUAAAAAUAUACCUAAAUUAAAUCGUUUGCACUGACCACAUUUUGUAAAAAAACUGAAAAUUUUGUUCUUCUUGGUGAAACUGAAAAGUGAUUCGUGACUCAGCUGCAACUAACAGUCACGUGACAAAAAAACCUGAGACUUUUCUGCUGAGCUGCAGGCCGUGUUUACAUGGAGACAAAUUAAAAGUGGAACUAGCUGAAUAUCUAUAGUAUGUACAGACACCAUUUUUUCAAGUAUUACUAACACCUGUGGGCCUUUAGAAAAUUUUUUUUUGGUUGUAUCUUUUCUUAAUAAUUAAAUCAACUUUUUUUGUUUCAUAAGAUUUAUGGCAUUAAAAUUGUGUCAUACAGAACAAAAGACAUUUCUGAGUUCUCUCUACUUCUCAUCAUGGUUAUUCUACAUGUCUCAAUUGAAAAAAUUACCAAAAAUUAACUGUUUGCACUAACUAGAUUCUGUAAAAAGCCCAAAAAUUCUGCACUGCUUGUUGUAUUCAGAAAGCUAUUAGCUAUUUUGCUGUGACCAACAGACGCAUGACAAAAAUUCAGGGACUUUUUGGAUGAACUGCAGGCAAUGUUUACACAGAGCAGAAUGUAUGGAAAGUAUGGAAGCAAAAUAAUAUUUGAAACUGUAAAAAACAGCACGUAGAAUCAUAAUUUUUUCAGUAUUUUUAACACCUGUAUUCACUUGGAAAAAUGUACAUUCCGGGUUCUAAUUUUUUUGUGAAAUAAAACACAUUUACCAAUG